AGUGAACGCUGGCGGUAGGCCUAACACAUGCAAGUCGAACGGCAGCACAGUAAGAGCUUGCUCUUACGGGUGGCGAGUGGCGGACGGGUGAGGAAUACAUCGGAAUCUACUUUUUCUUGGGGGAUAACGUAGGGAAACUUACGCUAAUACCUCAUACGACCUACGGGUGAAAGCAGGGGAUCUUCGGACCUUGCCCGAUUGAAUGAGCCGAUGUCGGAUUAGCUAGUUGGCGGGGUAAAGGCCCACCAAGGCGACGAUCCGUAGCUGGUCUGAGAGGAUGAUCAGCCACACUGGAACUGAGACACGGUCCAGACUCCUACGGGAGGCAGCAGUGGGGAAUAUUGGACAAUGGGCGCAAGCCUGAUCCAGCCAUACCGCGUGGGUGAAGAAGGCCUUCGGGUUGUAAAGCCCUUUUGUUGGGAAAGAAAAGAAGCAGGUUAAUACCCCGCUGUUCUGACGGUACCCAAAGAAUAAGCACCGGCUAACUUCGUG
rnacentral:rRNA from 1 species